GAGCAGAAAACACAGUAGAUGGAAAAUAGAACAGAGGUCAAAAUCUUCUGCAUAUGAAGAAGAAACACUAGAUUUAAACCUAUUUAAGAACAGAUUUCCAGGAAUGGUGUCCCUAUUCUUUAAAGCUGCAGCAUUAAUCUUUCUGCUAAUUCUGAUUCCAACCCUAUCCUUCAGGAAAAUGAAUGAACAAAAUGGAGACAAGUAAAAUUCGAAGUGACCCUCAUCCACUGGCUAUUCAGAACUGCAGCAGCUAUCCUGAGAUAAUGAAUGAACCCAUGAAGAGUGGACAAACCAGAACAAUUGGAGAUCAAAGCUCAGGAAGGUGAGAGAGUCCUGACUCAUGGGGGUGUCAAUGAGCUGCUUAAUCAUUCAACAUUGGAAAUGUCUUAUCUUUUGUAU